UUUAUUUCAUAGAAAUAUAAUAGUAAGCUUUAAACCAGCUAUCUUUAAGAUUACGUUUUAGUUCAUUAUUUUUUAUUUUGAUUUUAUAAAUAUUUUAGGUUUUUUAUUAAGAUUAUUAAUUUAAUUUUAAAAUUUUUGUAAUAAUGAUAGAAUUAGUAUAUUUAUUUGUAUGAAAUUUUUACCUUGUGAACUUAUUAUAAGGAACUAGGCAAAAUAGAUUUCCGCCUGUUUAUCAAAAACAUGUCCUCUUGUUUAUAUUUUGAGGUCUGGCCUGCUCACUGAGCGUAUUUUUAAAGAGCCGCGGUAUUUUGACCGUGCAAAGGUAGCAUAAUCAUUAGUCUCUUAAUUAGUGGCUGGAAUGAAUGGCUUGACGAGAAAUCAACUGUCUCUUAAUAAAUUUUUGAAUUUAACUUUUGAGUCAAAAGGCUUAAAUUCUUCUUUAGGACGAGAAGACCCUAUAGAGCUUGACAUUUUACUUUUAUAUAGUUUUUUUUUUUGUCUUUCUAUAUUUAAUGAUGAUGUUUUGUUGGGGUGACAUGAAGAAUAGAUAAACUCUUCAUUAUUAUAUCAUUUAUUUAUGUUUGUUAUUUUGAAACAUAAUUUAUGAUCAUAAGAUUAAGUUACCUUAGGGAUAACAGCGUAAUUGUUUUUGAGAGCUCAUAUCGACAAAGCAGAUUGCGACCUCGAUGUUGGAUUAAGAAAAAUUUUGGGUGCAGGAGCCCAAUGAUUAGGUCUGUUCGACCUUUAAAUUCUUACAUGAUCUGAGUUCAGACCGGCGUGAGCCAGGUCGGUUUCUAUCCUAAGAUUGUUAAUCCAUAUUAGUACGAAAGGACCAUAUGGUUAAAAUAUUUUUUGUUAUAUUGAUUAAUAUUAAUUUAUUUA